rnacentral:rRNA from 1 species
GAUGAACGCUGGCGGCGUGCCUAAUACAUGCAAGUCGAACGAAACUUCUUUAUCACCGAGUGCUUGCACUCACCGAUACAGAGUUGAGUGGCGAACGGGUGAGUAACACGUGGGCAACCUGCCCAAAAGAGGGGGAUAACACUUGGAAACAGGUGCUAAUACCGCAUAACCAUAGUUACCGCAUGGUAACUAUGUAAAAGGUGGCUAUACUACCGCUUUUGGAUGGGCCCGCGGCGCAUUAGCUAGUUGGUAGGGUAAAGGCUUACCAAGGCAAUGAUGCGUAGCCGAAUUGAGAGGUUGAUCGGCCACAUUGGGACUGAGACACGGCCCAAACUCCUACGGGAGGCAGCAGUAGGGAAUCUUCCACAAUGGGCGAAAGCCUGAUGGAGCAACGCCGCGUGGGUGAAGAAGGUCUUCGGAUCGUAAAACCCUGUUGUUAGAGAAGAAAGUGCGUGAGAGUAACUGUUCACGUUUCGACGGUAUCUAACCAGAAAGCCACUGCUAACUACGUG